rnacentral:rRNA from 1 species
AUUGAACGCUGGCGGCAUGCCUUACACAUGCAAGUCGAACGGCAGCGCGGGUGCUUGCACCUGGCGGCGAGUGGCGAACGGGUGAGUAAUAUAUCGGAACGUGCCCUGGAGUGGGGGAUAACGUAGCGAAAGUUACGCUAAUACCGCAUACGAUCUACGGAUGAAAGUGGGGGAUCGCAAGACCUCAUGCUCCUGGAGCGGCCGAUAUCUGAUUAGCUAGUUGGUGGGGUAAAGGCCCACCAAGGCGACGAUUAGUAGCUGGUCUGAGAGGACGACCAGCCACACUGGGACUGAGACACGGCCCAGACUCCUACGGGAGGCAGCAGUGGGGAAUUUUGGACAAUGGGGGCAACCCUGAUCCAGCAAUGCCGCGUGAGUGAAGAAGGCCUUCGGGUUGUAAAGCUCUUUUGUCAGGGAAGAAACGGUCUGGGUUAAUACCCUGGGCUAAUGACGGUACCUGAAGAAUAAGCACCGGCUAACUACGUGCCAGCAGCCGCCGCCGUAA